GUGCCUGUAUUAGGUGCUGUGAAUAAUAAUUAUCUGUCCAUACAUACAGCAUACAGUUCAUUGUUGGUAUGUGGAAAUGGAUUCAUUGAUGGCAUCUCAGUUUGGCCAAAGUUUAAAGCCUACACGCCUUCGCCUGACGCACUGCUCUGGGUUGUCAUCGAAUGAUACGUAGGCUUCUAAGUGAUGUAUGUAGAAGGCUCUGUGUAGGAUAUGUUCGUGUUCUAUGUGGGGUUGCCAACUGGCCUGUAAAAAUGAUUCUUCGUCAGUGUUUUAAUAGGGUAUAACAGAAAACGCUGCGACUAAAUGUACCACGUGUCUUCGCCCUAAGUGUUGGACUGGCUUUACAGAGAUAAGCAAAGAAUUAGAUCUGCUUGGCUAGCACCAGAAAGGCGCAUUUUCAGCUAAUGUACUGAGUUGAAGUUUUAGCUUUUAUAUGGUAGAUGGCGCCCUUUUACCAAUAAAAGAAAGUGAAAUGUA